rnacentral:rRNA from 1 species
GACGAACGCUGGCGGCGUGCUUAACACAUGCAAGUCGAACGCUGAGGCUCAGCUUUUGUUGGGUGGAUGAGUGGCGAACGGGUGAGUAACACGUGAGUAACCUGCCCCCUUCUUUGGGAUAACGCCCGGAAACGGGUGCUAAUACUGGAUAUUCACUGGUCUUCGCAUGGGGGUUGGUGGAAAGGGUUUUUCUGGUGGGGGAUGGGCUCGCGGCCUAUCAGCUUGUUGGUGGGGUGAUGGCCUACCAAGGCUUUAACGGGUAGCCGGCCUGAGAGGGUGACCGGUCACAUUGGGACUGAGAUACGGCCCAGACUCCUACGGGAGGCAGCAGUGGGGAAUAUUGCACAAUGGGCGCAAGCCUGAUGCAGCGACGCCGCGUGAGGGAUGGAGGCCUUCGGGUUGUGAACCUCUUUCGCUCAUGGUCAAGCCGCAACAAUGGUUGUGGUGAGGGUAGUGGGUAAAGAAGCGCCGGCUAACUACGUG